UGAGGGAAUAUUGGUCAAUGGACGAGAGUCUGAACCAGCCAAGUAGCGUGCAGGAUGACGGCCCUAUGGGUUGUAAACUGCUUUUAUAAGGGAAUAAAGUUAGAGUCGUGACUCUUUUUGCAUGUACCUUAUGAAUAAGGACCGGCUAAUUCCGUGCCAGCAGCCGCGGUAAUACGGAAGGUCCAGGCGUUAUCCGGAUUUAUUGGGUUUAAAGGGAGCGUAGGCCGCCCCUUAAGCGUGUUGUGAAAUGCCGCGGCUCAACCGUGGCACUGCAGCGCGAACUGGGGGGCUUGAGUGCACGCAACGCAGGCGGAAUUCGUGGUGUAGCGGUGAAAUGCUUAGAUAUCACGAAGAACUCCGAUUGCGAAGGCAGCUUGCGGAGUGCGACUGACGCUGA
rnacentral:rRNA from 1 species